AACGAACGCUGGCGGCAUGCCUAACACAUGCAAGUCGAACGAGAUCUUCGGGUCUAGUGGCGCACGGGUGCGUAACGCGUGGGAAUCUGCCCUGUGGUUCGGAAUAACAGUUGGAAACGACUGCUAAAACCGGAUGAUGACGAAAGUCCAAAGAUUUAUCGCGAGAGGAUGAGCCACGAUAGGAUUAGCUAGGUGGUGUGGUAAAGGCGCAGCAAGGCGACGAUCCUUAGCUGGUCUGAGAGGAUGAUCAGCCACACUGGGACUGAGACACGGCCCAGACUCCUACGGGAGGCAGCAGUGGGGAAUAUUGGACAGUGGGCGAAAGCCUGAUCCAGCAAUGCCGCGUGAGUGAUGAAGGCCUUGGGGUUGUAAAGCUCUUUUACCCGGGAUGAUAAUGACAGUACCGGGAGAAUAAGCUCCGGCUAACUCCGUGCCAGCCGCCGCAGUAAAAC
rnacentral:rRNA from 1 species